rnacentral:rRNA from 1 species
AUUGAACGCUGGCGGCAGGCCUAACACAUGCAAGUCGAACGAGUGGCGGACGGGUGAGUAAUGUCUGGGAAACUGCCUGAUGGAGGGGGAUAACUACUGGAAACGGUAGCUAAUACCGCAUACCAUCAGAUGUGCCCAGAUGGGAUUAGCUAGUUGGUGGGGUAACGGCUCACCAAGGCGACGAUCCCUAGCUGGUCUGAGAGGAUGACCAGCCACACUGGAGCGGAGACACGGUGCAGAAUCCUACGGGAGGCAGCAGUGGGGAAUAUUGCCAAAUGGGGGCAAGUCUGAUGGAGCCAUGCUGGGUGAGUGAUGAAGGCGCUAGGGUUGUAAAGCUCUUUUGUGCGGGACGGUACCGCAAGAAUAAGCCCCGGCUAACUUCGUGCCAGCAGCCGCGGUAAUUC